AUUAUGUUUAAUGACAGUUUUGUUUUGACUAUAGAUGUAUUUUAAUGCUGCUACAUGAGAACAUCCAACAUGGCGUAUGUGUGUUGUACAGUGGUGGAUGACCGGUUAGAGCUGGAGAACAGGAAGAACAGGAUGCAGAGAAAUAGCUCAGAUUCACUUUAUCCAUUGUGACGAGAAACUGAUCGAACAAUGCAAACUUGUGCGAUAUCAUAAUUUUAUAAUCAAUGGACAUGAAGAUUAAAGCAACAUUAUUUUGAUGAACAUUUCACCAAAAACAAUGAGCAACGACAUAUGUGAAUAUCAUAAAAAAUAUAAGUA